UACAGAGGUCUCAAGCGUUGUUCGGAUUCAUUGGGCGUAAAGGGUGCGUAGGCGGCGCGGUAAGUCGGGUGUGAAAUCUUGGAGCUUAACUCCGAAACUGCAUUCGAUACUGCCGUGCUUGAGGACUGGAGAGGAGACUGGAAUUUACGGUGUAGCGGUGAAAUGCGUAGAUAUCGUAAGGAAGGACCAGUGGCGAAGGCGGGUCUCUGGACAGUUCCUGACGCUGAGGCACGAAGGCCAGGGGAGCAAACGGGG
rnacentral:rRNA from 1 species